UAAAGGUUUGGUCCUAGCCUUGAAAUCAGUUUUUACUUAAUAUACACAUGCAAGUCUCCGCACCCCUGUGAAAACGCCCUUACCUUCCCUUACAGGGAACAGGAGCCGGUAUCAGGCACACCUCCGCCCAUAACACCUAGCCUCGCCACACCCACAAGGGAUCUCAGCAGUGAUAAACAUUGAAUAUAAGCGACAGCUUGACUCAGUUAAAUUAAAUAGAGCCGGCCAAUCUGGUGCCAGCCGCCGCGGUUACACCACUGUGGCUCAAAUUGACUUCUAUCGGCGUAAAGCGUGAUUAAAGCUAAUCAAUCCUUGGAGCCAAACUAAAACUAAGCUGUGACAUGCUUGUAAUUAAGAAGCCCAAAAGCGAAAGCUACUCCAACUUUUCCAACUUGAAUUCACGAUAGCUGAGUAACAAACUGGGAUUAGAUACCCCACUAUGCUCAGCCUUAAACUUUAACUUACACCUUCAUCGCCUGGGAACUACGAGCAAAGCUUAAAACCCAAAGGACUUGACGGUACCCCAUAUCCCCCUAGAGGAGCCUGUCCUAUAAUCGAUAACCCCCGUUUUACCUCACCAUUUUUUGCUAAUCAGCCUGUAUACCUCCGUCGUCAGCUUACCACGUGAGCGUCAGUGAGCUUAAUGUUUAUCCAACUAUACGUCAGGUCAAGGUGCAACAUAUGAAAUGGAAAGAGAUGGGCUACACUUUCUACCCUAGAACAAACGAAAGACUUAAUGAAACCUAGUCAGAAGGCGGAUUUAGCAGUAAAAUGAAACCAGAGUGUUCACUUAAAUCUGGCACUGGGGUGUGUACACACCGCCCGUCACCCUCCUCAACCCUAUAGAACAGUCUUUAACACUUUUUAGGGGCCUAGAAGAGGCAAGUCGUAACAUGGUAAGUAUACCGGAAGGUGUGCUUGGAAU
rnacentral:ncRNA from 1 species